AUCUUAUUUGCUUUGUUCUGGAAGGUGCAGCAGACAUGAUGUGGUGUGACCUUGAAGGCAAGCCCUCAAGAGAUCUUACAGUUCCUGUUUUCCACUCUCCAGGAUCCUGAGACCGCCAGGCUAUGAAGAAGGCUGUGAUGAAAAGCUCUUUUAUCCAGAGUGGGCCCAGCUUUUCCAGCUGCUCCAGCUGGGCCUGGUGCCUGGGCCUUCACCUGGCUGCAGGCAGGUGGGAAGCCCCUGUGAGGACAGCAAGGGAGCCGGUGUCGACCCCCAUCAUUGUGAGACGUAUAAAGCAUUGUUACUUGAUGCCACCAUGUUUCAGCAUGUCUGUGGUGUAGCAAAUAGAAAAGUGAUUCAGACAUUGGUACCACCAGUGGACUGGUGCCUUGACAAGCACCUGAGACAUGUGACGUUGGCUUUGGGCCCAAGGGUGGGUAAUGGCUGGGAUGGGGAAAAGGGACCUUUGGAGGCUGGAGAAACAGUGACCUUUGUCACUUAGGAAUAAGUGGCCAAACUGUCACCUAUGGUAACUUGGAAGGUAAAAGAUAUACCUUAUGAACGUGUAGGAUCCGGUGGAAGGUCUUGCCUCUGGACAGAAUGUCAAAAGUGCCCAUCAGCUCCAUCUCACACAUGUGAUAAGAUACAGAAAGAAAGGUGAGCUGGGCCAGGUGCAGUGGCUCACGCCUGUAAUCCCAGCACUUUGGGAGGCCGAGGUGGGCGGAUCACGAGGUCAAGAGAUCGAGACCAUUCUGGCCAAUAUGGUGAAGCUCGUCUCUACGAAAAAUACAAAAAUUAGCUGGAUGUGGUGGCACACGCCUGUAGUUCCAGCUACUUGGGAGGCUGAGGCAAGAGAAUCGCUUGAACCUGGUUGGAGAUUGUAAUGAGCCGAGAUUGCUCCACUGCCACUGCACUCCAGCCUGGUGACAGAGCAAGACUCAGUCUCAAAAAAAGAAAGAAAGAAAGAAAGAAAGAAAGAAAGAAAGAAAGAAAGAAAGAAAGAAAGACAAAGGUGAGCUGGAGAAGGGAUCAUUCAAUCUGCAAUCGGAACUUAAAGACAAAAGGCCCAGGACUAGCUUGUGUGGAAAAUAAAACUGUCACUCAUCCCCUUUCUCUCCAACUAGUAAAAAUAUGCAAAGUGAAAUGAAGCCAGGGCCAAAGAUCAAAUUAAGGAUGUAUCUGUAAGAUCCUUUGUUAAGGCUUUUGAAAGACUUAUGGCAGUACCUAAUAGGCCCUCUCAGCCACACAAAAGGGAUUUUAAGAAUCCAGGAUUGUUCCAUAACAGCCAUACAUGGCCCAAGACAGGGAAAGAUCUGUCUCAAAAAAUAAUUAUGCAUGUGGCUUUUGAGAUAUGGUGUAAACUUCAAUUAGAUUCAUAAGAAAUCCACAAAGUUUUAAAGAGAGUUGUAUUGGUAAAAACACUGUCAGCUUAGACCACAGAAGACGGUUUAAAAUGAAAAGAAGCUUCUGGGAAGAAAAAGGUUGAGAAAUUACUCAGCUACAAAUGUGGGUCACUUCUUAAGGAAAAGAAAAUAAAACUCAGAGGGUGUAGCCAAGAACAAAGGAGAACAAUAAAUUAGAAAACCACUCCCAAGGAGGAGAGCUGGACCUAAUCAAGGAACAUUCUUUGCCCUUGGAGUAGAGGACACUGGCUGUGUUUCAUAAUUGCCAGGAUUGGUGACUGCAUGUGCCUCCUGUUCCUCCCCUUUUUGAAGGGGAGUGCGUAUAGGAGUUUUCCUGUCCCUGACUCAUCAGUGUACAGGCACCUGUCAGAGAUAGUGUGAAUCUGGUUCCAGAUCAUCUCAGUAAAGCAAAUAGCUAAAAAAGAGUCACACAAUUUUUUUUAUUUUUGCAUUUAAAAGUUAUGUUUAUACUAUACUGCAGUCUGUUAAGUGUGCAACAGCAUUAUGUCUACAAAGCAGUGUAGAUACCUUAAUUAAGAAUUUUUUUAAUUGCUAAAAAUGCUAACAAUUUUCUGAGCCUUCAGUGAAUUAUAAUCUUUUUGCUGAUGGAGGGUCUUGCCUCAAUGUUGGCGGUUGCUGUCUGAUCAGGGUGUUGGUUGCUGAAGUCUGGAGCGGCUGUGGCAAUUUCUUAAAAUAAGACAAUAAAGUUUGCCACAUUGAUCGUUUGACUCUUUUCAUGAAAGAUUUCUCUGUAGCAUGUGAUGCCGUUUGAUAGCAUCUUACCCACAGUAGAACUUUCAAAAUUGGAAUCCAUCUUCUCAAACCCUGUCACUGUUUCGUCGACUAAGUUUCUGAUCCUAUUUGAAAUCCUCUGCUGUCAUUUCAACAAUGUUCACAGCAUCCUCACCAGGAAUAGAUUCCAUCUCAAGAAAUCACUUUCUUUAUUCAUCUAUAAAAAGCAACUCCUCAUCCCUUCAAGUUUUCUCAUGAGAUUGCAGCAAUUCAGUCACAUCCUCAGGCUUCACUUCUAAUUAUAGUUCUCUUUCUAUUUCUACCACAUCUUCAUUUCCUUCCUCCGCUGAAGCCCUGAACCCCUCAAAGUCAUCCAUGAUGGUUGGAGCCAACUUCUUCUAAGCUCCUGUCAAUGUUGAUAUAUCUUCAAUCACAAAUGUUCUUCAUGGCAUCUAGAAGGAUUAAUCUUUUCCAGAAGAUUUUACUUUUCCCAGAUCCAUUUGAAGAAUCACUAUCUAUGGCAGCUACAGUCUUACAAAAUGUAUUUCUUAAAUAAUGAGACUUGAAAGUUGAAAUGCCUCCUGAUGCAUGGGCUACCGAGAGGAUGUUGUAUUACCAGGCAUGAGAACAAUGUUCAUCUCUUUGUACAUCUCCAUCAGAGCUCUUGGGUACACAGUCAAUGAGCAGUCAUAUUUUGAAAAGAAUCUUUUAUUUCUGAGCAGUAGUUCUCAAUAGUGGGCUUAAAAUAUUCAAUAAACUAUGCUAUAAACAGAUAUGUUGUUAUCCUGAAUGUGUUGUUAAACUUUGGGAUUUUUGACAGUGGGGUAGGUGGCACAUGGAACCUUGGUGUGGUUUUAAUUUGCAUUUCUCUUAUUAUGGGGGAAGAUGAGCUUCUUUUUACAUCUUCUAGGGCCAUUUGCAUUUCUGUUUCUGUGAACUGUGUGUUCCUAUCUCCAGCACAGCAGGUGUUUAAACCCAAAGGUGAUGUGACAACAAGAAACCCCCUUCCCAACCCCUAACCCCAGGCAGACUGCUCUCCCAGGCUGGGGCCUCUUGGACCUUAAGGAAUGAGGACAGAGCAUCCUGAAGAUGGGGAGUCCUCGUCCCCCAGGCAAAGCUGGCUGCCUGGAAGGGUCCCCUGUCAGAUCCACCGGUGGGUGAGCUGCCCUUUCUCUUUUGCAGGUCAAACUUUCCAUUACUGUCACCAUGUAACAGGGGCCCUUUCCUCCAGCCUCCAGUAAUGUCCUCGCCACCCUCACCCUUAGAGCCCUCACCAAUGAUUCCCCAUGCUGCCUCCCAUCAUCUUGUCCCCAAACCAAUGACCCAUGGUGA
rnacentral:lncRNA from 10 species